AGCUGUGAGGCCCCGCUCGCCCCUGCCCCCCGCUGUUUCCUUGGACAUUCUGACCGAACGUGUGAACUAGUGUGGUUCCCGGGACUUCAGCUGUAGGUGGAACGUUGCUAGAGGCCAGGAGGAAGGACAGUGGCACCUGGGUGGUGCCAUAACUCCCAGCUGGUACAGGCCCGCCCGGCUGCUUCCAGCUGCUCUGUUAGUGGCUUGAUUAGCAUCAGUAGUUGCAGGAGUUGUGGGCGGGGAUUGUGGACAGAGCAGGUGGCUCCCUGCCCGGGGCAGCCUGUCCAGUCUCCCUGUGUGUGGGGACACAGCUGGUGGCCCACAGCCUCACUCACCCCUGACUUUGGCAGCAUGGCCUUAGGUGCUUUUUCCGGUGGGGCAGGUGUAAGGUGGGCCCCGCGCAGCUGCGUCCGGACUCCCAUGGGCAGGGGCAGCCAUGGGAGGGCCCGAGAGCAGUGUAGCGACCCGACCGCCUUUGCAGUCCUUAGAAAGGCGACUCCUGAGUGGCUCAGUCAGUUAAGCAAGUCUGACUCUUGAUUUCGGCUCAGGUCAUGACCUCCAGGUUCGUGGGUUCGAGCUCUGUGCCAGGUUCUUGUGCUGACAGUGCAGAGCCUGCUUGGGAUCCUCUCUCCCCACUCUGCUGGUGCGUGCUCUCAAGGAAAGCUGUGUCCAGAACUUUCCAGAAGUAGCCUAAGGAGCAGAGGCAGAGCUGAGCACACAGCUCUUGCUUCCCACCUUUGGGAGCGAGCCUUUGAAAAGGACCCUGGAAUGUGAGUGGUGACUUCAGAUCACUGAACCUGUGCUCGCGUGGCUCAUGAUUGGGGUGAUAGCCCGGAGGCGCCUUGUGGUAAUUGUGUGUUGUGCGCAUUGAAGGUAAACUUGACCUUUUGAAGAAACAGAUUAAAUUCUCAAGAUACGUGCUGCCUUUUUUUCUUUUAUUUUUAUUUUAAGUGAUUUUAUUUAUUUUUGAGAGAG